CCGGAGUGGACGAACCUCUGGUGUACCGGUUGUCACGCCAGUGGCAUCGCCGGGUAGCUAUGUUCGGAAGAGAUAACCGCUGAAAGCAUCUAAGCGGGAAACUCGCCUUAAGAUGAGAUAUCCCUGGAGGCUUGACCUCCUUGAAGGGUCGUUCGAGACCAGGACGUUGAUAGGUCGGGUGUGUAAGCGCAGUAAUGCGUUCAGCUAACCGAUACUAAUUGCCCGUAAGGCUUGAUCCUAUAACA
rnacentral:rRNA from 1 species